UCGAUUCCCUUAGUAGCGGCGAGCGAAACGGGAAGAGCCCAAACCAACAAGCUUGCUUGUUGGGGUUGUAGGACACUCUAUACGGAGUUACAAAGGACGACAUUAGACGAAUCAUCUGGAAAGAUGAAUCAAAGAAGGUAAUAAUCCUGUAGUCGAAAAUGUUGUCUCUCUUGAGUGGAUCCUGAGUACGACGGAGCACGUGAAAUUCCGUCGGAAUCUGGGAGGACCAUCUCCUAAGGCUAAAUACUCUCUAGUGACCGAUAGUGAACCAGUACCGUGAGGGAAAGGUGAAAAGCACCCCGGAAGGGGAGUGAAAUAGAACCUGAAACCGUGUGCUUACAAGUAGUCAGAGCCCGUUAAUGGGUGAUGGCGUGCCUUUUGUAGAAUGAACCGGCGAGUUACGAUUUGAUGCAAGGUUAAGCAGUAAAUGUGGAGCCGUAGCGAAAGCGAGUCUGAAUAGGGCGUUUAGU
rnacentral:rRNA from 1 species